AGUAAACAAGAAAGUGAGCCUGGUGGAUCCCAAUGGCUGCCAUGUCUUCUGAUGUCAGGCAGUAGACUUGAAGGGUAGACGAAACAACAAGUUAUCUAUUAAGGCACCCAUACCCAGUUUCUAAGCAAAUACAGAGUGUGUUUCGUCUGCGGUGUCCUGCGAGGCAGACCCCUUCAUCAGAGGAGUCUUCCCCACCCCGCCAAGCCCUCCGCCAACUCACGAUGGGUAACUAUGUGGAAAGCCCUCUGCAGAAGUUACUCAGCAUGUAUUGAUCAUGCGAACCAAUCACCAGAGAUCAGAGAGUACUCCGUUUGCCACCUGAACUAUUGACCAGUGACCUCGAGCCCUUUUAGCAGAAGCACCUGUCCUUGCUGCUCUCCUGGGAAACUGAGAGGGGCUGACCCAAGGUGACCCAAGGAAAGCCAUCAGACAUGCCAGCCCUCGAACUUUAUUACCAGCCUCAAGAGACAGGAGGGAGUCUGCUCUCACCCUACCAGCACUGAAAGCUUCAGAGGCAGCUUCAUGCAGCUUCAGGAGCCCAGUCACCAGAGGCAACAAUUCCUGGGGCUUCACGGUAGAGAGCAGGAAACCGUGGCCACAGAAUAGCAGUGUUCACACCUGGAACACAGGAAGGGGCUUGGGAUGCUUGGCAACAGAAGUCCAUGAGGAAGACAGCCUCAUACACAGCAGGUUCUUUUUUUCGGAGCUGGGGACCGAACCCAGGGCCUUACGCUUCCUAGGUAAGCGCUCUACCACUGAGCUAAACCCCCAGCCCCUGGAUAACUUCUUGACUUGCAUCAGUGUCUGUCACAGAGCUGCUGUGGAGAUCAAUAUCAGCUUAUAGAUGCACAGCACUAAGAAGAGGACCCAGCAGAGCACAUAAGUGAAAUUCCUACCAUAGCCAUCUGACCAAGUGCCGGGGUCCAAGCAGGUCGGACCAGGUUCAAGGAGUCCUUCAGAAAGAGGCCCUCUGGCUUUGGCCUUAGACAGACAGUGAGCUUUUACUGCAGAAAUUGCUGCCCUAAGUCUCCACACAGGUUGCCAGUCCCUGAGGCACAGGCAAUAGAAACAACACUGACUUGUGCCUGCCCCAACAACUGCCUAUAUCUGGAGCGAAGUGGCCGGCAAGCACACAGGAACCAGCACCGUUGGCAGGAAGCCUACAUUCUGCAAACACCAAGAGCAGGAAGUCCACUCACACCAAAGGGUCCCCCACCACGCCCCGUGAGAAGGAAGGGCCAGCCAGAGGGGAUGGGAUGGGUUAUUUCCUUUUCCAAGUAAGGCUUUGAAGAGUCGCUGCAGGGUGGCUAGAAACAGGGUGGCUAAGGGCGCACACAUGUUUCUCACACCCACCCGAUUCCUGACCUUAAUGUCACUUAAUAAGCCAGGCCCAGAGUCCUAUCUGCAAGGAGAAUUGCAAAUCACUUGGCCGGGGCUCCGCAUAUGAGGUGGCUUUGUAAUAUGAGCAGUGUGUCCACUAACUAGAGCAAGACCAUUAGGUCCAUUACACCUGUCACUCUGCCAGCUGAGUCGCCAAACUGCCAUGAUAAAAGUACAUUAUGCCCAAGGAGUGCCACCCAGCCCCCUUCCAGGCAGCACAUACUCAUCCGCUGCCCAGAGAACGCCACUGUAAACAGCUUGAAACUUGACUGUAGAUUACCUCGGGCUCUUAGCAGAUACAAAUGUUUCCCUUUCGUGGGAGGCUGGGAGGAGGAAUGUGGGUAUGGGGCAGAAGACCAAGAUGGGGACAGAGGUGGGCGGUCUUGUAAAAAAAUAAUAAUAAUAAUAAAAGGGAGGUGGGGAGCAGAUAUUUGGUAAGUGGAUUCUAUCAUAAAGCCCAAAAUAAAAGUGAGAGACACACCCUUUUCACCUCUAAGCCAGGUCCCAGCGCUGCAGGCAGCAGGCAGAGGCCUCUGUGCAGCUGUACUCCCACCAGGCCCCAAGAAAAGCACACAGCAGCUGAGCUGCUCAGUGGGUUUGCAGUGCAAGCCUGUUGCAGACAGCAGUAAUUUAUUUAUCCCUGUCAUGGAACAUUAACAAUCUGUCUGGAGCUUGGCAAGCACCAACUUGCACUGUCAUAUAAACUGUCUGACAAACCUAAAAGUUUCAUAAAUGCCUCUCUUUUCCCAGCAGACAACAAAACACGGUUCUUUUUUAAAAGUUGUCAUCUUCGCUGUUUCUUUUUCUCUCUUCCUCUUCCAAAAACUAAGGAAGGGAGGGAAAAGAAACCGAGAGAAAACUAGCAACGAAAAGAACCUAUGCGGUCACACGUGAUCUGUCAGUGAUCUCAGCCACUUCCCUAUUCUCCCGUAUCAAGUAAAUGAAUGAAUGGGGUGGGGGCGAUGUGGGGUCAGCUGUGAGGCUACUGGGGUACUGAAGCAAAAUCUGCAAAACAAAAAUACAGUCAUUAAAAAUUAAUAAAGGGUGUGGAUAUCCAGCCCCCACCUCGUUCCACUCAUGGGAAUUAGAGCCAGACAUUCUGCGUCCUCAUUAAGUGAAUGCUGGCAGGCUGUCAGGGUUUUAGUGGGUUCUGGGAAUGCCAAUAUAUUAACCAGAAGACUUUUUGCAUACCCUUUAGAGUUUUUAUUCUAGAAAAGUCAACCAUUUGGCACAGUAGAGCCUUAUUUUUGUCCAGGAAAGCUCUCGGCUGCCAAUCAAAGGAGAAAUUACAGCUACACUCUUCAGAAUUUCCAAGACCCAGCUGAAAAACAAGCUUGGUAGAGAGAGAAGUCCUCAAAAAAAAAUCCUAAAAAGGUCACAGUAUCAUUUUUAGUGGGAAUUCAAAGAAAAGCAAUCUAUCUUUAAAUCAAAUGGAUACAUAACAAUACAGACAUUAUUCUCAAGUCUUCCUGUAACAGAGGAAAACCAAUGUUAAUUGGAAAUUUGAAGCCAAUAUAUCUACAUCUGUGAACAGUCCAGGCAGUUGCUUAUUUCCUUUUCUUGUCCAACAUGAACAUGAGCAAUGCACACAUGUAACAUGAGCACAUGUGCACACCCACACACAAUCCCCCCCAAAAGUGGCAGGUGCUGGGGUUAUAAAAUUCAAAUAGUAUGCAGAUUUCUACCCAUAUUUGUGUGUGGGCUGUGUGUGUGUGUUUAUGUGUUUAUGGGUAUGCAUAUGUAUGUGCAGGCCAGAGAUCAACAUCAGGUCUUUUUUCAAUCUCUCUCCAUCGUAUGUUUUGAGUCAGGGUCUCUCACUGAAUCUAAGAGUUCCCCCAAUUCAGCCAGACUGGCUGGCUAGCAAGUUCCAAGUAUCUGCCCAGCUCUAUAUCUUCAGCACUGGCUUCUACAUGGGCACCAGGGAUGUUGAACCGGUCCCUAUACUUGCAUGCCAAGCAUCUUACGGACUAAGCCAUCUCCGCACGUCCCUAUUUUCUUAGGUUAAAACUCAUAUGCCACUUCUCAUGUACCCUCAAAAUAUAGGUCAAGAUGCAUUUCCUAUCUAACAGCCCAUGUUGGCAGUAAGUGACUCUGACAUCAGAGAAAUAAUGCCUUCUGGGAGAUUUUUCUCCAAAAGGAAAGGACUGAAGAAGCAGGGGACAAGCGCUCCGAGGAGAGAUGGAUGGACCAAGGAAGGAAAGGAAGACAGGGAUGCUGCAAUUUGCCACCAUUAACAGGUAAUGCAUGUGUCCGCAUGAAUAGUGUUGAAUAUCUAACAUUUUCCAGGCUUUCACAGCUGUUCCUUUCUGAGUGUCCCCUGUCAAUUCUGACCCCCCCCUCCCAAAAAAGACACAUAUCCCAGAGGCUCCAUACUCCCAAAUUCAGAAGAAAGAAGAGGAAACUUGACCAGGAUUUCUAUAGAUUUAACCAGUCUAUACACUUGCAUGUAUUCCUCCCCAGAAUCCUAUGGGCUUUGGCUUUAUAUGAUAACAGGACAGCCCUGCAUACUAUUUUAAAGUGGUUGACUUAAUGUGGGGUACAUGCACUGGGAUCCAGAGUUUGGGGUCUUUCCUUGCCAGCCAGCCAGAAGCAUAGGCAUUAUACCCGCAAGGCAUAAAAGUCAUCCUCUCUAGGUUCCUGCAAAGCUAGGAUUCAACUCCUCCAGCAACCUGGAUAAAAAACAGAAAGUGACCCAUGAGCCACAGGGCUCCUCUGCCAGGCUGUUAAGUCAAGCAAGACUACAGCACAGCCCCAAACUGUAAACACCUCUGCAGACAGGUCCUUGCUCUAACCGCGCCUGGCAAGAGAAUUAUCCUUGGAACAGUCCGAGGUUGGGGGAAAUGCUAGGGGCGUGAGAAUAAGCAUUCGCCUGUGGAUGUAUAUAUCCUAAUGGGCAGGGGUGGAGAAAGAACUGUUGAACCUGAAACGAUGUGCCAACAGAUUGCCACAAAAUCCCGUCAGAAGCAGCUGGCCCUGGCAGGAUUCCACUGCAGGAUCAUGGUCAUGAAAACCAAGCACCCAAGAGGAUUCAAGAGAUAGCCUUAAAUACCUGUGGGCAAGAGGCCCUCCAACACAAAUGCAAACUUACAGGAACUGAGGCCGUAGACAAGGGCAGCGAACUCUUCCAGUGGUUAAGAGCGGAACGCUAAGAAACUAGAGAGGUUUGUCGUUUUAACAAGGGGAACAGUACCUACAAAUCAGUAAAUCUGUGGCAUUUACAGUCCUAGCUCUAAUUCUUAACUGUAUUCUACAUUAAUCGAAAAGUUAAUCUGUUAAAGAAUUAAGCUAUCGCUGGGAUGACAGAAAACCAAUAUUAAAAUUCACAUAUAGGUAAUAGUCUGACCCAUUAUUGUCCACAUAAUGACUCAAGUUUGGUAUUGUUUCUCUACUGAACACAUAUUCUAUAUUCCAAAAAGAAUGUGCAAAGGCAAAUGUAUGAUGCCAGUAAGCUGAAUUUAAACCAUAGGGAAAGACUGUCAAUUUCUUUCAUCCAAAAUGAGGCCCAGGCUUGGGGUGUGCUCACUUCAUAGAACCUUCCAUGAAAUCCAAUACACUGUCCUGAAGGUCCAGAGUGAGAGGGUAAGGUUUGGGUGCACCCAAUAGAAACCAACAGAAAGAGGCAUUCUAAGGUGGGCCUAGCAAUGCUAGCCCUACAUAGCCCCUUACUUUUUGUACCAGGUGCUAGGAAAGCCAGGGUAUCAGCAUGCCAGGAAAACCAACUGCCACUAAAAGCUACCUCCCCACUCCAGCACUCUGAAGAUCCAGCAGGGUUCCCGUCUCUACCCUUCACAUCCCACAAUGCCUAACCCACAAAAACCCACUAUUACGUUCGGUCCCCAGCUCCAAAAAAAAAAAAAAAAAAAAAAAAAAAAAAAAAAAAAAAAAAAAAAAAAAAACACUAUUACAUAUCACAGUCAUAAUUAACUCUAACUUUUAGUGAGGAGUUCAGGGAUGGCAAUAUGGCAAAAUAAAUAAAUAACAAUGAAGAAGAGGAGGAGGUGGAGGAAGGAAAAA